rnacentral:misc_RNA from 1 species
GGAUGAAGAACGUAGUGAAAUGCGAUACGUAAUGUGAAUUGCAGAAUUCAGUGAAUCAUCGAGUCUUUGAACGCACAUUGCGCCCCCUGGUAUUCCGGGGGGCAUGCCUGUCCGAGCGUCAUUGCUGCCCUCAAGCACGGCUUGUGUGUUGGGCCCCGUCCUCCGAUCCCGGGGGACGGGCCCGAAAGGCAGCGGCGGCACCGCGUCCGGUCCUCGAGCGUAUGGGGCUUUGUCACCCGCUCUGUAGGCCCGGCCGGCGCUUGCCGAUCAACCCAAAUUUUUAUCCAGGUUGACCUCGGAUCAGGUAGGGAUACCCGCUGAACUUAAGCAUAUCAAUAAGCGGAGGA